rnacentral:piRNA from 1 species
UCAUGCCUUUAUACAGUUUAUUUC